rnacentral:lncRNA from 1 species
AGGAGUUAUCAGACAAUUAAAGAUGUGAUAAAUUUAGCCAUUGGAACAGGAAAUUGGCAAUAAUGCAGAAAUGAGAGGAAGCAGUUGAGCUAACUGCUGGGCACUCUACAAAAUUGGCUAUAAAAAAGAAGGACUGCCAUAAAUAUAAGGGCAGCCCGGAGAGGACACUGCUGGUAAUGAAACCCCCACUCCCGAUGCGGGAAGCGGGGAGACGCGGGGCUGGGGGCUCCUGGAUCUCAGCUCUUGGCUCCUCGGGGCGCACAGCCCGGCGGCGGUGAUGGAAAGCCAGAAGCAGAGUGCAGGGCUAGCUCACUCCUGCUCUGAGCUGGCGGUGUCAGAGCAAGAAAAGCUUAAAACCUUUUAAAAACCCACCCACCGUGCUAUGGGUGCUGACCAGAGCGACGGCACGGGCUGCGUGGGGGAGCCCCCAGGAACGGGACCCGGCGCAUGCCGGCGAAAUGCCAGAGUGGGGCCGGGACAGGCAGCGGGAUAACGGCUGGGCUAAUUGCCUGGGACUGCAUCGCAUCAAAGGAGCGUGUAAUAGACGCAGGGCUGGGGUCAGGAGAGUGCAGCCGGGGAAAUUUGCUGCCGGGGGCAGAGCCCAGCCAGCAGCGGGCUGGGGAAGCUCCGGCACCGCCCCUGUGGGGGCUUCGUGGAGAAAACAGAGGGGUGAGGGUGGCUGGGGCCACGGCCAGCCCAUCCAGGGCAAGGCACACAGCAAAAUUCCAGCUGCAGGAGGAAACAAUACCAUCUGCUUCACAUCCAGGAGUCAUGUCAGCAGCUGCGGAGAGGAACGGGAUGGAGGAGUGGCGAGGAUGAAACUGAAUUGGAGAAGAGAUCCAAAUGCCAAGGAGGAGAGCAGACACACGAGCGGGUCCCGCUGAGCCCACGGGCAGGUGGAGGCUGGAAGAACACAGCUGCGCCAUUUGGGAGAAAAUGAUCCGAAUCGGGCUGCGAGCCACCAGGAGGGAGAGUCCCGUGGGGCUGAGCGAGGCACGGCACGGGGUCUGCCACAUCCGACAUUUUCGGAGCAAAAUAUUGCUGGAAAAUCCUUGCCCAGACCAAAAUCCAGCCUCUGCCCCACGUCGGAGGUGCAGGACGUGGGUGAGCACCACCGUGGCAUCCCCUCUCCCCCCAAGGUGAGCACAAAGGAGACCCAGCACAGCUCGGAGACGAUCCGUGCUGUGGCUGUGCCGCGUGCUCCGUGGGCAUAUGGCAAGCCAUUCACUAAAUAAAAAAAUUAAAUUACCCGAGACUAUAAAACAGUCAAUUUAGAGCGAUAUC